GAUGAAGAACGCAGCGAAAUGCGAUAAUUAAUGUGAAUUGCAGAAUUCUGUGAAUCAUCGAGUCUUUGAACGCACAUUGCGCCUCAUGGCAUUCCGUGAGGCAUGCCCAUCUCAGCGUUAGAAAAUAUUCUCAAAUUUUAGUUUUGUGCUAAAAUUUGGAUCAUGUCAAAGAAGCUAUUACUAUUAUUGUGAUCGCUCUUUGGAAAUUGAUAGGUCUUUGAGUUGUUACUCAUAGAACGUGAUGAAUCUUUCUUCGUUCUAUUGUAAUUCACUCUGGUAGUCCUAAAACUUGUAUGCCUGUGGCAUAUCUUGUAAUUUGACCUGAGAUUGGGUAGGGAUACCCGCUGAACUUAAGCAUAUCAAUAAGCGGAGGA
rnacentral:misc_RNA from 1 species